AGAGUUUGAUCAUGGCUCAGAUUGAACGCUGGCGGUAUGCCUAACACAUGCAAGUCGAACGAGGUAGCAAUACCUAGUGGCGGACGGGUGAGGAAUACGUAGGGAUCUGCCCUUAAGUGGGGGAUAACCCGGGGAAACCCGGAUUAAUACCGCAUGAUCUCGCAAGAGCAAAGAGGGGGACCGCAAGGCCUCUCGCUUUUGGAGGAACCUACGUCGGAUUAGCUAGUUGGUGAGGUAAUGGCUCACCAAGGCGACGAUCCGUAACUGGUCUGAGAGGAUGAUCAGUCACACCGGAACUGAGACACGGUCCGGACUCCUACGGGAGGCAGCAGUGGGGAAUAUUGGACAAUGGGCGAAAGCCUGAUCCAGCAAUACCGCGUGUGUGAAGAAGGCCUUCGGGUUGUAAAGCACUUUAAGUUGGGAAGAAAAAGCUUCACCUAAUACGUGAAGCCUUGACGGUACCGACAGAAUAAGCACCGGCUAACUCUGUGCCAGCAGCCGCGGUAAUACGGAGGGUGCUAGCGUUAAUCGGAUUUACUGGGCGUAAAGCGUGCGUAGGUGGUUUGAUAAGUCGAUUGUGAAAGCCCCGGGCUUAACCUGGGAAUUGCGGUCGAUACUGUCAGACUCGAAAACGGUAGAGGGAGGUGGAACUCCAGGUGUAGCGGUGAAAUGCGUAGAUAUCUGGAAGAACACCGAUGGCGAAGGCAGCCUCCUGGGCCUGUUUUGACACUGAGGCACGAAAGCGUGGGUAGCAAACAGGAUUAGAUACCCUGGUAGUCC
rnacentral:rRNA from 1 species